UGUUUUAAUCAUCCAGUGCUUAAAACCUUGAUGACGGGUUGAUGGGCGCAGCAAACCAUGAUGGCACCUGUAUGCCUAUGUAAUAAACCUGCAUGUCUGCAC